UACGUAGGGCGCAAGCGUUAUCCGGAAUUAUUGGGCGUAAAGAGCUCGUAGGCGGUUUGUCGCGUCUGCCGUGAAAGUCCGGGGCUCAACUCCGGAUCUGCGGUGGGUACGGGCAGACUAGAGUGCGGUAGGGGAGAUUGGAAUUCCUGGUGUAGCGGUGGAAUGCGCAGAUAUCAGGAGGAACACCAAUGGCGAAGGCAGAUCUCUGGGCCGUAACUGACGCUGAGGAGCGAAAGCAUGGGGAGCGAACAGG
rnacentral:rRNA from 1 species